rnacentral:lncRNA from 1 species
AUGGGAUCCGAGCUCGCGUCAAAGGCUGCACCUGCUUUGCGCCCCUACCAGGAAGGGGUGCUUGUGUGGGAGGGAAGAAGGGAGGUUCUGCGCCCCCGAAUCCGGAGAAAGCAGCCCGCCCGCCCCCUCACCGGGCAGCCAGAGCAGCGCACCCGAGAGCCGAGCCCAAGAAGCCGGCCUCUGACGGUGCUGGUCUGCUUGCCAAAAAAUGCCCCUUGCAUCUCAAUUUCCCCGGCCGUUUCUCUCCCACGCACGACUCGCCCGGGGCCACCUCGGCUCCCUAGCGCAGUCCUUGGGGCGCUGGUUCCAUCCCUCCCCUCCCAACGCCGAACGCAAAACCCACCGCCAAGAAGGCGCAGGGGGUGCGGGGUGGGGGCACCAGCCCCUCCCGUGCCCCUCAGUCCCCUCCCAGCCGAGCCCAGCUCCCAGACUCUCGAUCACGGAAAUAAGUGUCAUUUAGACGGAGAACCGCGCGUCCGCGGCCCCCCGUCCCUGGCUCUGGGUGCUUCUCUGCGGUUCCAGUGCGCUCCCGAACCCUCCUCCCCCGUCGCCGUUUUCGGGCCUGUGCCCCCCACCCAGACUCGGGAGCAGUCCCCGGUCACCUCGGCUGCGUCCAUUUCACUUCCUCUCGCGGUCCGGAUUGCAGCAAAACACCGGGCAGCGCGAGGGCCAAAAAGUGGAAAGGAGAGCGCCUUUCGGCGUCGCGCAAGCCAGCUCGCUGACUCCCCCUCCCCAGCCCAGCCCCUCUCAAUCCCAACUGCAACUUUUUCCCUUCCGUCUUGGUUUCCCCUUGGCCGCGGCGAGCGGGCGCCGGGCCGCGAGGCGUGGAGCGGGCGGGCGGCCGCGCGGCUGCGGGUGGCGGUGCGGGCGAGAGCCGCGAGCCGCGAGCCGGAGAGUGGGUGGGUGGGUGGGGAGGGAGGAGGGGAGAGGACGGGCGGGGAGAGAGUGGGGUGUGGGGAAGGGGAGGGGGAGAGGAGGGAGGGGGGAGAUUCCGCUCUCCUGCCGCUCCCAGCCGGGGCGGGGGGGAGGAGGCCGCGAGGAGGGAGGGGAGGAGGGAGGGGAAGAGAGGGAGGGAGCCGAGGAAGACGCUCCGAUAACCCGUGCGUUUCGUAA